rnacentral:tRNA from 1 species
GGGCCCGUGGCCUAGUCAGGAUAAGGCGUUGGACUUCUAAUCUACGGAAGAAGAAAUCCAACGACCCGGGGUUCAAAUCCCCGCGGGUCCG